rnacentral:rRNA from 1 species
AGCGAACGUUAGCGGCGGGCCUAACACAUGCAAGUCGAGCGAGAAAGGGGGGCAACCCCUGAGUAAAGCGGCGGACGGGUGAGUAACACGUAGGUAAUCUUCCUUCGAGCGGGGGACAACAAAGCGAAAGCUUUGCUAAUACCGCAUAAGUUCUCGAGGACUCCGGUCCUUGGGAGGAAAGCUAGGUAGCAAUAUCCGGCACUCGAUGAGGAGCCUGCGUCGCAUCAGCUAGUUGGUGGGGUAAUGGCCUACCAAGGCGAAGACGCGUAGCUGGUCUGAGAGGAUGAUCAGCCACACUGGGACUGAGACACGGCCCAGACUCCUACGGGAGGCUG